GCAAAAGUCUUCCUCCGACUGAACUGAGAUUGGUUGUCGAUUGCAAAGAUAUAAAACAGUUUGAUUUUGAAAUUCAUUCAUCGAGCAAUGAGGAAAGUCGUCCAUAGU
rnacentral:rRNA from 1 species